CUUCGGAUUGGUUCAGGCUCAGGUUGUUUGCCGGCAUAGACUGCAGGCCCCGCCCCGCGCGAGCGAUUGGCCAGCUAGUCCAGGCCCGCGCGGUGAUUGGAAGGGGUCCGCGGCCGCGGGCGGGGCCGGAAGGUGGCCGGCAUCAUGGCGUCCACGCCGCCGCUGCGGGACCGCCUGAGCUUCCUGCACCGGCUCCCGGUUCUCCUGAAGGGAACGUCGGACGAUGAUGUCCCGUGUCCAGGCUACUUGUUUGAGGAGAUCGCCAAAAUCUCACACGAGUCCCUGGGCAGCAGCCAGUGCCUCCUGGAGUACCUUCUGAACCGUCUGCACAGCGGCUCUGGCCGAGUGAAGCUGAAGGUGCUGAAGAUCCUGCUCCACCUGUGUGGUCACGGCUCCUCCUCGUCCUUGCUCAUCCUCAAACGCAACCCUGCCUUCAUCCAGGAAGCCGCAGUUUUCUCGGGGCCCCCAGACCCUCUCCACGGCAACAGCUUGUACCAGAAGGUGCGGGCGGCCGCCCAGGACUUGGGGAGCGCCUUGUUCUCGGACAACUUGUCGCCCCCGCCUCCCUCCCAGCCACCCAGGGCCCUGCCUCCGGCAGGCAUGGGCUCCGAGUCCAGGCCCCAGGGCGCCCUCCAGGGCUUCGGCUACAGCAAGGAACGGGGCCCCACAGGCUCUGCGGGCGAAGCCUUCCUCUCCACCAUCCAGAAGGCCGCAGAGGUGGUGGCCAAUGCUGUGCGCCCCGGGCCCGAGAGCCCCGGCACCCGGAGGCCCCUCCCGCGGGGUGACGCCUACCAGCCCGCCAUGACGCCCGCAGCCAGCCGUGGUUGCCCGAGUGCCGGGAAGCCGCUCCCCGGAGCUCUCCCAGGCACCCGAGGAAGCGUCACGAGACCCCAGCCCGGGCAGGCAGGAGGGGGUUGGGACGAGCCAGAUAGCGGCUCCAGCUCCCAGAAUUCAUCCCGGGGGAGCGGUGACCCAGGCAAGGUCUCAGACUCAGGCAGUCGGUCGGGCAGCGACAGCCCCUCAGCGGCUAGCCAGGCACCCAGCGACCUGGCAGAGCGGGUGGAGGCCGUGACCCUGAGCGACUGCCACCAGGAGCAGAGCCUGGUCCAGACUGUGACACGGGGGCCGCGUGCCUUUCUGAGCCGAGAGGAGGCUCAGUGCUUCAUCAAAGAGUGUGGGCUGCUCAACUGUGAGGCGGUCCUGGAACUGCUGACCCGCCGCCUGGACGGGACCAGCGAGUGUGUGCAGAUGAGGGCCCUGGGCGCCAUCGCGUCCCUGGGCUGCACCGACCUGCUCUCCCAGGAGCACAUCCUGCUCCUCGCCCGGCCGCGGCUGCAGGAGCUCAGCGCGGGCAGCCCUGGACCCGUGACCAACAAGGCCACCAAGAUCCUGAGGCACUUUGAAGCCUCCUGCCGACAGCGGCCCCCCGCCCAGAGGCCCCCGGUCGAGCUGGGCCCUGCUGCUGGCCGCGGGGGCCCGGCCGACCUGCUGACCGACGCCGUGCCCUUCUCCGGGAGCCACGCCUUCCUGCAGCCGCUGAGUUCCGCCCUCUUCCCGCCCCAGGGCCCUGCGCACCCCCUUCCCCCCGAUGGCUCCCCGCUCUCAGUCCCCAGGGAGGCCGAGGCCGGCCCGGUGGGUUCCAGAGAGGAGGGCGCUGGACCCGAGUGGAGCCCGCCGGGCACGGGCUCCCCAAAGGGAGCGCCGGAACUUUGCCCGGGGCCCGGGGGCUGCAGCUCCUUGUUUGCUGGCAUGGAGCUGGUGGCCUGUCCCCGCCUGCUGGGGGCCGGGCCCGCCACAGAAGAGGCCCCCCAGGCCCCCUGGACGCCACCACAGAGGGCGGCGGCAGCAGGAGCCCCUCCCGGCUCGGAACCUUCUGCCUUCCCUUUCCUAAACUCGUGACCUUGCCAGCCUGGGCCACACGUGGAGUCACCGUGGCCCCGGCCUGUAAAUCCCAGGAUUCCGUGACUCUGCGCUGUCCCGUUUGCCCGCAGCCCCCACGUCCCACCGAGGAGAGGUUCCCCUCGGGUGUGUGUGGCCGGUCCGCCCUCCCUCCGGCGUCCCCCCCUCACUCACCGAGGACACGGUGCGGGCAGCUGACCAGAGCGAAUACAAUGGCCGCAGAUCAAGCCCCGGGUGAUGUGCCGCCGGUCCACGAGCCAGCAGAGCCAGGAGCGGAGCAUGGGAACACAUGUAGGUCUCAGGAUGUCAGACCCAGGGGACCUUCCUAAAGGAAGGCACUAGCAGCAUUCACAAAGGAAGCGAACGAUGUUCACGGAGAAGCCACGAGCAGAUUUGGAAUUCUUGUCCAGUCAGAACCCACACCCCUCCCAGCCUGCAGAACCAAGAAGCGGCCGUGACCCUGGAGGUUUGGUUCCAGAACCAGAGAGCGAAACUCAGGAAAGCUGAAUACAAGCAUCCGCAGCAAAAACAAGAACCCAGACAACAGCAGUUAGCUGGGGGGAGUCAAGACCGGCUCUUCCUGGAGAAAUACGCUCCUACCCUGCUUCCUCGGUUUAUGCAGAUCGCCCAAUACCUUCCUUCCAACCCUGCACGUGCACCAGUUUGAAAGCUCCCCCAGACCAUUCUGUUGGCCACCAAACAGUCCACCUUGGCUGCCGCCAAGAUCCUAACAUCUCCCUUUGUCCCGUUUAGGGAUCUCAGAUUCUUUCCACCAGCUUCACUGCUAAUUCCUUUGCUUCUGCAUUGCCACCAAGAACCUUAGAAGAGAAGCUAGACACAAAAAGCCACAUACCGUGAUUUGCCAUGAUGCCAAAUGGGGCCGAUAGAAGAUCUACACAACACGGAUGCAUUUCAAAGCGUUCUGCUCUGCGAAAGAAUAAAGACACGGAAGUGCCCGUGUGGUGGAAUUGAGCAGAAGGAGGCAGUAACGCUUCUUGGGAUGGUGACGUUUCAUGUCUUAAUUAGGUUGGUGGUUACCCGGAUGUACAAACUCAUCGAAAGACACAGAACUCUAAUACUAUGUACACCACAAAGAAACAGCCAUGUGACAGGAUGGAGGCGUCAGCUAAUGCCACGGCGGUAACCCUUUUGCAUUCUAUAAAUACCAAAUCAGCACCUUUGUGUACCCCUUAAACUCGCACAGGGUUAUGUGGCAAUUCACUCGAUGCGUCAACUCAAUCUCAGUAAACCUGGAGGGAAUAAAUGUUUUAAUUAUGUCUCAAUAAAGUAUAUAUGCAUAGGUCA